rnacentral:misc_RNA from 1 species
GGUGAAGAACGUAGCGAAAUGCGAUACGUAAUGUGAAUUGCAGAAUUCAGUGAAUCAUCGAGUCUUUGAACGCACAUUGCGCCCCCUGGUAUUCCGGGGGGCAUGCCUGUCCGAGCGUCAUUGCUGCCCUCAAGCCCGGCUUGUGUGUUGGGUCUCGUCCCCCUUCCCGGGGGGACGGGCCCGAAAGGCAGCGGCGGCACCGCGUCCGGUCCUCGAGCGUAUGGGGCUUUGUCACCCGCUCUGUAGGCCCGGCCGGCGCUUGCCGAUCAACCAAAACUUUUUUCCAGGUUGACCUCGGAUCAGGUAGGGAUACCCGCUGAACUUAAGCAUAUCAAUAAGCGGAGGA